GGGGGGCUGGCGCAACGGUAGCGCGGUAAGUUAUCUACUCAUCGGGUCGAAUGUUCAUGUCUAACGAUUUCACAGUUAGAUUCCAGUAUGGGAGCUCCUAAAGGCUACCGGUUCAAAUCCGGUGUCCCUCA